rfam:Aedes albopictus isolate Foshan contig27507, whole genome shotgun sequence.
UGCCCAGCAACUCCUAUCCCUACCUCCUCGCGGUACCGGCCGGAAACUAUUAGCAACCUUAGGGAAGAUCGGAUUACCAACCCCGGUGGGAGCUUUGGUCGUAGGCUGACAGGGAAGG